rnacentral:rRNA from 1 species
AUUGAACGCUGGCGGCAGGCCUAACACAUGCAAGUCGAGCGGAUGAACGGAGCUUGCUCCUGUAUUCAGCGGCGGACGGGUGAGUAAUGCCUAGGAAUCUGCCUGGUAGUGGGGGAUAACGUCCGGAAAAGGGCCCUAAUACCGCAUACGUCCUGACGUCGAACGUGGGGGAUCUUCGGACCUCACCCUUUCAGAUGAGCCUAGGUCGGAUUAGCUAGUUGGUGGGGUAAAGGCCUACCAAGGCGACGAUCCGUAACUGGUCUGAGAGGAUGAUCAGUCACACUGGAACUGAGAAACGGUCCAGACUCCUACGGGAGGCAGCAGUGGGGAAUAGUGGACAAUGGGCGAAAGCCUGAUCCAGCCAUGCCGCGUGUGUGAAGAAGGUCUUCGGAUUGUAAAGCACUUUAAGUUGGGAGGACGGGCAGUAAGCUAAUACCUCGCUGUUUUGACGUUACCAACAGAAUAAGCACCGGCUAACUUCGUG